rnacentral:lncRNA from 1 species
ACUGCUAAGUGUCCUCCCUUUGCAGGCAGCAAAGGCUACAUACACCAGCCACACCUUUCCCAGCUCCCUUCCUGAGAUCCCUGUUGCAGUUCUCCCUGCAGCCAAGGCAAGGAUGCAACUUGAAAAUGUAUCCAAAUGUGUCUUGACUGAAUUUGUGCUUUAGGCCCUUUCGGAGUCAAUGAUUUAAAACAAGAACACAUUACCUUCAUAAACUAAGCUUUGCUGAUAUUUCAAUACCAAAAGGGGAAGAAACGCACGUUAGGAUGUUUCAGUCUCAUGUGUGAGGCACUUCCAACAAGCUACUUAUUAUUUCAACAAUUAAUUCCAAAUGCAGUUUGAGAACAUCUUUCAUAGAGUUAAGAACAUAAUUUUCAAUUACAUCAGACAUCCUUGUCAAAGCAUUUCUCCCUCAGCACCCUAAAAGAAUGUGAAAGUUAGUGUGCUUUUCAGUUCAGCUCACACACCUAAUGUAGCUACUGAAAUAUUUAGCAACUAAAUAUUCAGUGGCUUCUACCACAAGCAACUUGGGGUAGAGGGGGGCUUAUUUCAUCUUACAUUUCCAGGUGAUAGUCUAUCACCAAGGGAACUCAAGCAGGAACCUGGCGGUGGGAUCUGAAGCCACUCAGUUGAGUCCCUGUUACCUGUCUUCCCUAGGAUGACUAAUUUUCUGCUCCAUGUUCUGUGAUAAGGGAAACUUCUACAUCUACAUCUACAUCUACAUCUACAUCUACAUCUACUUCUACAUCCCAGAAGUCCCACAGUCAUGCCCACAGGCCAAUCUGAUAAAAGACAUUCCUCAAUUAAGAUUCCCUAUUUCCAGAUGACUCUAGUUUGUGUCCAAACAGAACAAAGGUAAAGCAUAGAAUUAAAAAACAAAACAAAACAAAACAAACAUAAAACAUCACACAGAUAGACACACAAAGAUACACCAUUAAAAUGGAUCCUUUCCGACAACUUACUGGGGAAAGUAACUGAAAUCAUGCAGGAACUGUCAAGUGACACUUCAAACAUAAAACUAUCUCAAACUGAUAGUUUAAAGAGAACAGCCACAUGGUUAAGUCCUUGUUAGCUGUCUUCUCUGAGAUGACUAAAAAUCUACUGUUCUCCCUGUUUAGAGAUAGGGACACAAUAUUAUAAAUCUUCCAGUCCUCUGCCCCCUCCCUCAGGAAUAAAUUCUUGGUACAAUUUCUUGCUCAUAGCAAUUGUGUGAUAAUUCCUUACUGAAUAGAUACUUUAAUUAAUUCCAUAGAAUAAUUCAUACAGAAGAGCAAAACUCAGAGAAUGAUUCAGCAGAGAUGGUCCUAAAAUAGAGAGCUUUGCAGAAUUCGAAAUUCGUAAACGAUGCUAAAGCGUUAUGGAUUGGGUAUAAAGAGAUCAAUGUCGUAAACUGCACAGCAGAGCUGAGAGUAAUUUCACUUUCAAAUGAGAACCUGAAGGAACAACAAAUUCCAGUGACAUCAGGAACAAGAUGUUUUGCUUUUGUGAAAAGCAGGCUGCCAACAGAAUUUUAAUGGGAUAAAAAUGAACUACCUGGGAAGUCAUGGAGUCAUGUGUGAUGCUGGUCUAGAAUUAAUUCCAGCACAGCUUUCCUCUGCUUUCCAGACAGAGGGACUAAAUCUUCUGACUGGUGAACAAUGCACCCUCUAAGGGACCUGCUCCUCUGGCGUAUAACUGAUGUUGAGAACUAGGAAGAACUGGACAGUCCUAGAGCAGGGGCUCAGUGCCCAAGAUCAUCUGCUGCCCUCGCCGAGACCCACGAUCCAUUCCCAGCACCCACGUGGUGGCUCACAACCAUCUGUAACUCCACUGAGAGGAUCUGAUGGCCUUUCUCAGGUUAUCGAAUACAUAGAGUGCACUUCCAUACAGGCAAAACAUACACACAGAGAGAGAGAGAGAGAGAAUAAUUAUUGAAACAUGUUAUAUGGUUGGGACCACUGGUUCCCUUAUUUAACUUGAAAAUCAAAAUAAAUUAGAAUACUUAAAAAAAAAAGUGACUAAGACUGUAGUUUUGCGAGAGAGCUUGACAAUCAUACAAGAGGCCCUCCUGGGUCCCAUCCCUAGCACACAGCUUGAUUUCCUGUCUGAAUCCAAAACAGAACAUAAAAGCCCUUCCCAGAGACCCAAUUGAAACUAGCAUUUCAUGAAAUUUCCCUUGUGCUUCACAGAAUUAAAAAAUUACAUAAACCUGCCAGGUAGGCACAGAAAUGCCCAAACAGAAAGAAACUAUUAUUUUAAAGACCCUCUCUCAAAACAAACAAACC